rnacentral:rRNA from 1 species
CGUAUAAUAGAAACUAACCAGGAUUCCCUUAGUAACGGCGAGUGAACUGGGAUACCAAUAUACAAUAUGCACUACGUGCAUACUUUAGCCCGUCGAUACUAUCCUAGCAUAUCACCGGUCUCGGCCGGUAACCAAAUAUGCGGGAAUUGUAGCAUCGUAACAACAAUACAAAUAUAUGUAUACGCACAACACACACACGCUGGGCGUGCUUGAUAUAGCUUGUACACACACACCGCCUCUGCGAUGGAAAGCAUAUAUAUAUCUUCUUUGUGUAUGAGAUAGAGAGUGACACCCUCGAUUGACUCACACAUAUAUGAGACACACACACACACACAGACGCGUGCACGCNCUAUGUGUUAACUCACUUGAUUCUAUAUAUUU